rnacentral:misc_RNA from 1 species
UCAACCGUGGCAGGUGGCGG